rnacentral:misc_RNA from 1 species
GAAAUGCGAUAAGUAAUGUGAAUUGCAGAAUUCAGUGAAUCAUCGAAUCUUUGAACGCACCUUGCGCUCCUUGGUAUUCCGAGGAGCAUGCCUGUUUGAGGUCGGCUCCCCUAAAAUGCAUUAGCAGAACCGUUUGCGGUCAGUCGCAGGUGUGAUAAUUAUCUACGCCAAAGACCAAGGCUGCUCUCUGUUUGUUCAGCUUCUAAUUGUCUCGGGACAAAUUUUUUUGAAUGUUUGACCUCAAAUCAGGUAGGACUACCCGCUGAACUUAA